rnacentral:rRNA from 1 species
AUGGAUAACCAAUCCAUUUUCCAAUAUAGUUGGGAGAUUUUACCCAAGAAAUGGGUACAUAACAUGAAAAGAUCGGAACAUGGGAAUAGAUCUUAUACCAAUACUGACUACCCAUUUCCAUUGUUGUGCUUUCUAAAAUGGCAUACCUAUACAAGGGUUCAAGUUUCGAUCGAUAUUUGCAGAGUGGAUCAUCCCUCUCAAAAACAAAGAUUUGAAGUUGUCCAUAAUUUACUGAGUACUCGGUAUAACUCACACAUUCGUGUACAAACAAGUGCAGACGAAGUAACACGAAUAUCUCCAGUAGUCAAUCUAUUUCCAUCAGCCGGCCGGUGGGAGCGAGAAGUAUGGGAUAUGUCUGGUGUUUCUUCCAUCAAUCAUCCGGAUUUACGCCGUAUAUCAACAGAUUAUGGUUUCGAGGGUCAUCCAUUACAAAAAGACUUUCCUCUGAGUGGAUAUGUGGAAGUACGCUAUGAUGAUCCAGAGAAACGUGUGGUUUCUAAACCCAUUGAGAUGACCCAAGAAUUUCGCUAUUUCGAUUUUGCUAGUUCUUGGGAACAGUGUAGUGACAGAUAA